UACGUAGGGUGCGAGCGUUAAUCGGAAUUACUGGGCGUAAAGCGUGCGCAGGCGGCGCGUUAAGACAGGUGUGAAAGCCCCGAGCUUAACUUGGGAAUUGCGCUUGUGACUCGCGUGCUGGAGUGUGGCAGAGGGAGGUGGAAUUCCACGUGUAGCAGUGAAAUGCGUAGAGAUGUGGAGGAACACCGAUGGCGAAGGCAGCCUCCUGGGCCAGCACUGACGCUCAUGCACGAAAGCGUGGGGAGCAAACAGG
rnacentral:rRNA from 1 species